rnacentral:tRNA from 1 species
GCCGAAGUGGCGGAAUUGGCAGACGCGCUGGACUCAAAAUCCAGUGGAGCUUAACACUCCGUGCCGGUUCGACCCCGGCCUUCGGUACAA